CAUACCCCAGACCCUCUCCUAACCCGGACAACGCUAGGCCAAUUGUGCGCCGCCUUCACGGCCGGUUGCGAUACAGCCCGGGAUCGAACCCUGGUCUGCGACACUCAGGAUCCCUCAGGUGGACAUUGCUUUUAGAUGUGAAGUCACCAGGUAUCAUGAGUUACAUUCUCCCCUAGAGAUGAAGUCACCAGGUAUCAUGAGUUACAUUCCCCCCCUAGAG